rnacentral:rRNA from 1 species
CCUACGGGAGGCAGCAGUGAGGAAUAUUGGUCAAUGGACGCAAGUCUGAACCAGCCAUGCCGCGUGCAGGAAGACGGCUCUAUGAGUUGUAAACUGCUGUUGUAUGAGGGUAAACGCAGAUACGCGUAUCUGUCUGCACGUAUCGUACGAAUAAGGAUCGGCUAACUCCGUGCCAGCAGCCGCGGUAAGACGGAGGAUUCAAGCGUUAUCCGGAUUUAUUGGGUUUAAAGGGUGCGUAGGCGGUCGGAUAAGUUAGAGGUGAAAUCCCGAGGCUCAACUUCGGAAUUGCCUCUGAUACUGUUCGGCUAGAGAGUAGUUGCGGUAGGCGGAAUGUAUGGUGCAGCGGUGAAAUGCUUAGAGAUCAUACAGAACACCGAUUGCGAAGGCAGCUUACCAAGCUACGUCUGACGUUGAGGCACGAAAGCGUGGGGAGCAAACAGGAUUAGAUACCCCGGUAGUC